CUCGGGAGGGGGGUCCCUCAGCCCAGAUUGCAAGAGGGUGCAGGCCAGGCCAAGGGACCCCACCGGUGCACA
rnacentral:pre_miRNA from 1 species